rnacentral:rRNA from 1 species
UUAAAUUGAAGAGUUUGAUCAUGGCUCAGAUUGAACGCUGGCGGCAGGCCUAACACAUGCAAGUCGAACGGUAACAGGAAUCAGCUUGCUGAUUCGCUGACGAGUGGCGGAC